rnacentral:misc_RNA from 1 species
GAUGAAGAACGCAGCGAAAUGCGAUAAGUAGUGUGAAUUGCAGAAUUCAGUGAAUCAUCGAAUCUUUGAACGCACCUUGCGCCCUUUGGCUAUUCCGAAGGGCAUGCCUGUUUGAGUAUCAUGAACACCUCAACUCUUUAUGGUUUUCCAUGAUGAGCUUGGACUCUGGGGGUUUUGCUGGCUCACAGUCGGCUCCUCUAAAAUGAAUCAGCUUACCAGUGUUUGGUGGGUAUCAUGGGUGUGAUAACUAUCUACGCUUGUGGUUUUUCCACCAGGUAACCUUCAGCAGUGGAGGUUCGCUGGAGCUCAUAGAUGUCUCUCCUCAGUGAGGACAGCCCUUUGAAUGUUUGAUCUCAAAUCAGGUAGGACUACCCGCUGAACUUAAGCAUAUCAAUAAGCGGAGGA